AUUGAACGCUGGCGGCAUGCUUUACACACGCAAGUCGAACGGUAACAGGGAGCUUGCUCCGCUGACGAGUGGCGAACGGGUGAGUAAUGCGUCGGAACGUGCCGAGUAGUGGGGGAUAACGCAGCGAACGAUUGUCUAAUAACGCAUAAGUACUGGGGUAGAAAGAGGGGGACCUUCGGGCCCUACGCUAUUCGAGCGGACGACCUCGUACUUAGCUGGUCCGACAGAUCAAGGCUCACCUAGGCGACGAACAGUAGCGUGUCUAGGAGGAUGAUCCGCCACACUCGGACUGAGACACCACCCAGACCCCUACGGGAGGCAGCAGUGGGGAAUUUUGGACAAUGGGCGAAGGCCUGAUCCAGCCAUGCCGCGUGUCUGAAGAAGGCCUUCGGGUUGUAAAGGACUUUUGUCGGGGAGGAAAUCCCCAGCGUUAAUACCGCUGGGGGAUGACAGUACCUGAAGAAUAAGCACCGGCUAACUACGUGCCAGCCGCCGCAGUAA
rnacentral:rRNA from 1 species